rnacentral:rRNA from 2 species
AGAUGCGAUCAUACCAGCACUAAUACUCCGGAUCCCAUCAGAACUUCGCAGUUAAGCAUGCUUGGGCGAGAGUAGUACUAGGAUGGGUGACCUCCCGGGAAGUCCUCGUGAUGCAUCCC